rnacentral:tRNA from 1 species
UCCCGUGUGGCUCAGUUGGUAGAGCAUGGUGUUUGCAACGCCAGAGUCGUGGGUUCAAUUCCCACUGGGGAC